AUAUAACAAGAGAUAUAUACUAGGCUCGUUAGAAUUAUUAUUAGGUGGGUACUCCCAUGAAGAUAUUAUAAUUGUCUUCAUGUGAUGAUUUUUCUUUUUGACUUUUAGAUGAUGGAUUGUAGGAUUAGAUUUUGAUAUGUUAUAAAAGUGUUGUUUUUAUUUAAAGUGUGGCCAAAUUAAUAAAUCACACUUUUAUACAAAGCAUCUUCAUAAAAAGAUAUUUUUUGCAUCUUUAUUUGAGUAGCUCCCA